GAACAUAAAUCAUGAGGAGCCAGGUAAGAGUUUAUGCCCCUCAGCAGUCUGUGCGAGGGUCCAAGAAGGGACUUGGAAAUUAUUUAUGGGGUAAUGAGAAGACUCCCUGGCCAUGGUAACCCAAGACAAUGAGUCAUAUACAGCCCAGGGCUUAGCCCCGGCUGCCACUUGUCAUAGGCUCUGGGUCAUUUCUGUCCUGGUGAUGAUGAUGUGAAUGAAGUACGUCAGGACAAACCUGGACAGAAGAGCCUGCUGACUGGGACAGCACAGCCAGCCCUUCCGUCUGGGCUUAUCCAGGAGAGGGAUUUGCCUCUGAAGGUUAAGAGUUGCCUCUGCAGAUAACAAAGAGAAACUGCAAGUGUAACAUCGCUCAAAGGAAUGGAGUGGGCAAAAAAGAAACGAUAGGAACAUAUUAAACUGGAAUUCAUAAUAGUUCAUUGUGAGCUCAGCUGAAGUUUCAUUAGAUAUAUCACUUAUUUUCCACUGCUUCACAAGACAUAGUAGGUCACAAAGAGGGAUGGUGGGGAGAGGAAGAACUUG